rnacentral:tRNA from 1 species
ACUAUUUUGGCAGAAAAGUGCUUUGAAUUUAGAUUUCAAUAAUGUAAUAUUUAUUACAAUUAGUA